AACCUGCGUUUCCACAUGACCAGAGAAAUGAGCCAAUCCAUGCCUUCAAAGAUGCUUUAUAUCUCUCAAGUUUGAGCAACACUAAUUCAGGCAUCAGAAGUUUAUUAACUAAUUGGCAUUAGAGGUUCAAUCACUGCCUUACAGCCUUCAGUAAAUCUUUCUGCUAAGG